UUUUCAAAAGCUUAGGUAACCAAGAGCAGGCCGAAAAUUCAAAUUUUAUGUAGUGUUUACUACAUAACUUUGAACAUGUCUCCUGAGCUACCUAAGCAUGGGUUUGGGCUCAAACUUGGCUGAGUUCAUCUAUUUAACAAGAUCUUGUAGUGUAUAUUUGGAAUAAGAUGAGCGGUUUAGGAGAUAGGAUAUUUUUGCUUCCGUUUGCAGUCCAUAUCUCUAGAAGUCCGUGCAUUAUGAUAUGGUAUUAAUAUGCUAUUCGCAACUAACUUCAUUCGACUUGACAAGGAUAUGAUUUCAUACCCUAAUUCAACCUCCGUCACCGGAAACGCCACUAUCCGCCCGAGGGGUACUUUUCUUGCAUCAAUAUGCAACCAAACAAGUACCAUGAACAGAUCAAAGAUGGAAUAGUACAGGCCCUGAAACUGCCUUUUACUUGCUUAACUUGAAAAUGGUAUUUCAAAUCUAGACAAUCUUUCAAUGGCUGGAACAACCAUCACGAUAAUAUUUCAAUGGGGAUGUAAAAAGUUUUGCACGAAAAAAUACUACUAAGAUUAUUUAAGUCAUUAAGAACAUUCUGGGAGCCAAAAUAUGGCAAAUCUAUUGCAAAGAAAAGGAUUGCUGAAGUUCCGUGGUCUACGUAUCGUUACAUAAUGUAACCAUUGUCUUUUGCACAUUGCUCGCAAUCAAGGCGAAUCAUUUGGGAGCAAUAAUGGUGGUGGGUACACACCAUGGUGCCAUUACCAUUAUAUUUUAAAUAUGCGUGCAUAGGUAUCAUAAAUACAAUUCAUAUUGUACAAGUAACAAGUAACUCAAUCGAAGAUGAAUGGAAAUGAAAUUGCAGCAAGCCAUUUGUGAUUGGCCAAUGUCACUUGACUUUCAAUAGAUUAAAAUCAUCUAUUACUUAGAUAUAUGAGAAUAAACAAAAUUAGCAUUCAUACGAAUCAAUUUAAAAUAAAGUCUGAGAGGUAGAUAUUGAAUAAGGCCGCAUAACUGAUUCUUAUAAGUAGGGACGGGCAAAUUGUGUAAAAAGAAUGUCACUAAAGACCAAUUUUUUACACAUGAGCACUUUUCACCUUUAUUUACACCUUAUAACUUUUAUUUUACACUUUUUGCAUAUUUGGCCUAAAACUGUUUUUUCGGUUGAAAUCAGUACUUUCUUUACGUUGGAAUUGGUUUCGCAGAUUGAAAUCAAAGGCUGCCGCUAAAAUAGAGCUAUGAAAAGUCGAAUUUUGAACAAUUGACGUCAAUUAUUAAGAUCUGCAGGCCAAAAGUACUUCACUUUCGGUUGAAAAGCAGGUGAAAAGAGAAAUGAAAACAGCCAGUUUCCAAAGGCUUGGUUAAUUUGCACAUUUUGCCCGUCCCUAAUGAUCGUGCCUAAUCAGUAUUUCAGACAUCCAUAUUUUGAUCCUUUCAAAUCUAGUAUACUUCACAUUAUGUCUGAUAUAAUAGUGCUCUUGUGAUCCUAGUCAAAUAAACAUACAUUGCCAAGUCCUCACAAUAAUGUGUCCAGAGACUUCAAAAAAUGCACAGGCUUGAUGACCCAACACUACUCUCACCCCAACAGAUAGCAAAGAUCAAGAGAAGGCCGUGUGAAGGACCUGCCGUGAAGUCCAGCGCCAUGAAGCCGAGGGCAAUAAUGAAAGAGCAAAUGCUGACAGAGAAGCACCAAGAAAAGAAGGUUGAGCAAUGCUGGAGAGAAAUGAACUUGCAAAGGAGCAGCAAUGUGGCGUUUAAGAGAUGAUUUGACCACAGACUUGACAUUCAUGCAAACAGACAAAAUGAGAGGCACAUUGCUGUGUACAAGUAGCUUUAGAUUUGUUGAAAUAUCAACUCAUCCAAGAUGGGCCAAGACAAUUGGCAUUAAGCAAUCUGAUGGACGUGCUCUGAAAUUGAUUUAGAUUGAUGGUAUGUGUCAUGCGCAUCAGCACUUGAAAAUCUUGAACAAUGUAGUAUUCCCCAGGCUCAACAGGAUGUUUGGCAUUGUAAACUGAAUUUGGACCCAAGAUGAUGCACCCAGCUAUAGUUUGCACCUUGUUCAGGAACGUAUAGCCAAGCACCUAGGACCAAAUAAUAUUUGGUCUAAGACCAAAAGGCCCCUGUCCUUUUCAAACCUGAGGCCUGAUUUUUAAAGCUCGUACCUCAGAGUUAGGGGGGGCUCGGACGUUAACCGGUAUGAAAACACACAAGCAAAAGUGCUCAGCGGAUGCUCAUUCAGGGUAACGUCCAAGCCUUAACUCAGAGGUGCAAGUUUUCAAAAAACAAUGAUGUUUGAUUUCCUUUGCUUUGAGGAGACUAAAAGUAUUCCCAGUACGCCAUAAAUUAAAAUCAAGCUGGCGAAAACCACUUUUUAUGAACAAAAAUGCUGCCUCUGAUUUACUUUUUGCCCAAAAUGGAUCUUUACUUCUCUACUGGACAACUUAUUUUGCACCUCUACGGUACAAAUUUCAUAUUUGUCUUUCUUCUUGGACCCUGGCAGAAACGAAAAACUAAUCCUUAGGGAUUUCAUCGAUAAGUUGUUCACUCAUGUAACUCGCAGUUCUCAUCGCUGAAGAUUUCAACUACCGAACAAAGAUAACGGUUGCAUUAUGAAAAGCCUGGAAACAGGGUGCAUCAUUUCACAAAAAGUAAGGAUUGUUGCAUCACAAUGAGAACCAUGAACAUAGAUGCAGAUGCAAUAUUUUGCCGGAACGUAACGAAAUCGACUGUCACUGACUGGCAAAUGUGCUAUGUUGGGAAAAUGACUCACUGAGACAAUUUGGACCCGUUCUUCAAUGGAAGUGGGUUGUUCACGGUCAAAGUCUAACAACUUUCAGUGGAUACGAAACGUCGUAAGCCUACAACUUACGUGGAAUCAACUUCAAGCGAGAUUGUGAGGAAAUGUUUCAGUUUAGUUGAUGAUUGGUCGGUGAUUCUCGAGGGAGGAAACUAUUCCUGUUCAAGAGGACCAUUUCAAUCCGCAAACUGAAUCAACCACUGAGGAGCAAAUCGUUGUGGAGAACAAACCGGAUACUCAUCGCAAUCUUGAAGCCACAAUCACCGAGAAAAUGGCGAAGGUGUCCCAAGCUGUUCCCAAGAGUGAUGUAGAGAUAAAGCGCACUGGAAUCGAAACUCUUGAUACCAUUCUCCAAUUGAAUCUCGUGAUUCAGAUCCUCUCCAUCUUGAAGGGAAUCCACGAACAAAUUGUCAAUCGGAAAGAAGACACUCUCCCGAGAAUUUACAUUCUUGUCCUCCAGAAUGGACAAGUUGUUGCUUUUCAUUUGCAAAGGAUCGCCAUCAUCUCAUGGAAUGUCUCUCACGAGAUUAUGCCACAGUUCAUGUUCAAGCGAGUCACGGCGUUCGAGCAUCAAACCGUGGAAAGCGCGAAAGCCUUGGAUUCCAGGUUGGCUAAAUUGAUCCAGGAUCUCGUAAAGUGGUAUGAGUCCAAUGUCUCCGAGGCCAUUGCAACCCGCUCCCAGAAGUUCAUGGAUUUUGUUGAGAAUGUGAAACCUGCUCAGUUGUACAAGCGGUUACCAUGGGUCAAACAACAAGACUAGACUAACCGGUUUCAAGCCAGCCAAUGUUUUCCUCCAGAUCGGCGUGAUUUGAAAUAAACUAGUUUGACUAGCUA